CUCCCGAUUAUUUCUCUUCACCAAAUCGCGAGAUUGGAUCUGAGCUCUCUCGUUCUGGUUCCUCCAUCCUCACGGUGUCAUGACGGCGUCUCAGGUUAUUCCGCCCCGCGUGCUCCUCGCCGCUCCGCCCCGACCGGCUCCUUGUUGCUCUUCCAUCUUCCCCUUUCUUCUAUCUUUUCUUUCCUCCACACCCCGUUCCCCGCCCUGCUCGGCCGCUGUCGCCCGGCUACUCUCACUGCGGGUGCCACUCGAUCCCCGUCGUGGGUACGCGGAAGCCGCAACCCCUGCUCACGUUCUCGCUUGCCGUCCUGGGACUGCGUGGAGCGGUGGAGGCCGCGCAUCAUGACUGCAUGCCUGCCUGCUGUCGCCGGAAACAAAAGCGCAGCGCCGCCACAUCGACAAACAUCUGGACCAACCAUCCCGCUCUACGCUGCUGUGAUUUUCCAUCAUAGCACAUCGCUGGCUCUUCGGUUCUGUUGAUCUAAUCACGCUUUUUAGGUCUCCAAGAGGUACACACCAUGCCUCCUGAUUGUCACACUGAGUCAGUUAGUUUGUACUUUUAUGAACUGUUGUUGUUGAAUGUAUGCACGAGACUGACUAUGGAUUGUAAAUUUCUUUCAUGAUGCUUGUACUUCAUGGACGCUCAUGUCUUACUGAUUGGAACUUUCUCUGUCUUUUAUGUGUUGUAGGAAAUACGAUUCAUCUCUGAACAUUUUUUAGAAAGAAGUCCGAGGCCCCGCGUUAAAUUAAUGACGCCAUUCAUCUCUGAACAUAUGAGCAAUUUGUAUUUCUUAGUGCUCACUUCAAACAAUUACUCCUUGCAAUUCAGAUUAGACUUACAAAUCUGUGUGUACAGACAUAAUAAAAAUAAGAUGGGCAAUUCAGAUCAGACUUGAAUACAAGAAAUUAUUUCACUUUGAAACUAUAUACACAUGAUUCAUUGCACACUUGAAUAUGGAAAUUUCAUUCAGCUUGAGAUGCUAUUUAUUCUAGGGUUUAGGGUAUCCCUUUACCACCUUGAUCGCUGAAAGAAAACGAACUUGUUGGAACAGAUACUGAUUUCGGAAUUGUAGCAUUAGUUUACUUGUAUCCCUUUACCACCUUGAUUGAGUUACAUUGCAGAAUUGAGGUUCGGCUGUUCUGACCUUAUUGUACUCUCGUGUGAUUUUUCUUGUAUGUUCACUGCAUUUUCCCCUUCCUCUCUCGCCUGCCAUUUGUCUCCUUGAUGUCCCAGUCUCUACCACGUCAUCCCUGCCGACGAGCUCGGCCUCUGAGACAGCAGCCCCUGUCCACAGUUUUGUUGAGAAGACAAAACAUGUGAGAUUGAUGUUUUAAAUCAGCGAGGGGACUUGUGUCUUCGUCAUUGUUCGUAACGGUUGUUUAUCACCACCAAGGUCAGUGGGUUCGUGCUGUCGGAGACUGCAGGAGAUCUGGCCAUAGCAGCUUCGAUUUGCAGCAGGUAAUUCCUUUUGUGGUUUAUGUUUGUAAGCAAGGAGAAGACAUAUUGUUUCAAUACUCUGUUUGCCACGAUCAACAUAGUCACCCAGAAACAAGUAGUUCGCCUCCGGUGGGAACCCACCAUACUCGAAUAAUCGAAGAACAUCAGAAUAUUGGUCAUGGAUGUCCCCUGUCAGUGAGUAAAUAGCAUAUCAGUUAAAUGCCAAAUGUGCUUUUAAAUCAUCAUAUUAUUGUAAUCCGGAGGCGUCUCGGCGUGCGCGUAGGGUCGGGGCCUCGGGCUGUUUCGGGAGAGGAGGGGGGCAUUGACACAAAUGCUGGUGUGCUGUAAGUUAUGACAUGGAUGACAGUGGCCUACCUGUAGCAAAUUAUUUUGACAUUUUCUGUAGUGUGCCAGGGUUUGGGUCAAUCGUGACUAUGACUCAAAGAAGGUGAACACAUCAGUUAUCCCGCAAGAUUACAUCUGUACCAAUGAAGAUAUAUCUAUUA